GCCCUGGCCGGUAGCUCAGUUGGUUAGAGCAUUGUCCUGAUAAGUCAAGGUUGCAGGUUCGAUUCCUGCUCAGGGCA